rfam:Triticum aestivum genome assembly, contig: Triticum_aestivum_CS42_TGACv1_scaffold_577505_7BL
UAACUACUCCCUCCGUUCGGAAUUACUUGUCUUGAAAAUGGAUGUAUUUAGAACUAAAAUAUGUCUAGAUACGUCCAUCUCCGAGACAAGUAAUUCCGAAACGGAGGAAGUACCAC